GACGAACGCUGGCGGCGUGCUUAACACAUGCAAGUCGAACGAAGUGGCGGACGGGUGAGUAACGCGUAAUCAACCUGCCCUUCAGAGGGGGACAACAGUUGGAAACGACUGCUAAUACCGCAUACUGAAGGGGGGGAUGGCGUCUGAUAAGCUAGGUGGAGUGGUGACGGCCCACCAAGGCGACGAUCAGUAGCCGGGCUGAGAGGAUGAACGGCAACAGUGGGAAUGAGAAACGGCCCAGACUCCUACGGGAGGCAGCAGGGGGGAAUCUUUCGCAAUGGACGAAAGGCGGACGGAGCAACGCCGCGGGAGUGAUGACGGCCUUCGGGUUGUAAAGCUCUGUUAAUCGGGACGCGGUACCGGAAUAGAAAGCCACGGCUAACUACGUGCCAGCCGCCGCGGUAAUAC
rnacentral:rRNA from 1 species